rnacentral:rRNA from 1 species
GACGAACGCUGGCGGCGUGCUUAACACAUGCAAGUCGAACGAAAAGAGGGAAAGAGCUUGCUCUUUCCGGAAUUGAGUGGCAGACGGGUGAGUAACACGUAAACAACCUGCCUUCAGGAUGGGGACAACAGACGGAAACGACUGCUAAUACCGAAUAAGUUCCAAGAGCCGCAUGGCCCAUGGAAGAAAAGGUGGCCUCUACCUGUAAGCUAUCGCCUGAAGAGGGGUUUGCGUCUGAUUAGCUGGUUGGAGGGGUAACGGCCCACCAAGGCGACGAUCAGUAGCCGGUCUGAGAGGAUGAACGGCCACACUGGAACUGAGACACGGUCCAGACUCCUACGGGAGGCAGCAGUGGGGAAUCUUCCGCAAUGGGCGAAAGCCUGACGGAGCAACGCCGCGUGAGUGAUGACGGCCUUCGGGUUGUAAAACUCUGUGAUCCGGGACGAAAAGGCAGAGUGCGAAGAACAAACUGCAUUGACGGUACCGGAAAAGCAAGCCACGGCUAACUACGUG